rnacentral:rRNA from 1 species
GGAGUUCGCUCAUCACCCUUUGUGACAUACCUUAACUGUUGCUUCGGCGGGUAGGCGUCCCCUAAAAAGGACGUCUCCCGGCCCUCUCCCGUCCGCGGGUGGGGCGCCCGCCGGAGGAUAACCAAACUCUGAUUUAACGACGUUUCUUCUGAGUGACACAAGCAAAUAAUCAAAACUUUUAACAACGGAUCUCUUGGUUCUGGCAUCGAUGAAGAACGCAGCGAAAUGCGAUAAGUAAUGUGAAUUGCAGAAUUCAGUGAAUCAUCGAAUCUUUGAACGCACAUUGCGCCCGCCAGCAUUCUGGCGGGCAUGCCUGUUCGAGCGUCAUUUCAACCCUCAAGCUCUGCUUGGUGUUGGGGCUCUACGGUUGACGUAGGCCCUUAAAGGUAGUGGCGGACCCUCUCGGAGCCUCCUUUGCGUAGUAACAUUUCGUCUCGCAUUGGGAUUCGGAGGGACUCUAGCCGUAAAACCCCCAAUUUUACUAAGGUUGACCUCGGAUCAGGUAGGAAUACCCGCUGAACUUAAGCAUAUCAAUAGCCCGGGAGG